AUUGAACGCUGGCGGCAUGCCUUACACAUGCAAGUCGAACGGCAGCGGACCUUCGGGUGCCGGCGAGUGGCGAACGGGUGAGUAAUGCAUCGGAACGUGCCAUUGAGUGGGGGAUAACGUAGCGAAAGUUACGCUAAUACCGCAUAUUCUGUGAGCAGGAAAGCAGGGGACCGCAAGGCCUUGCGCUCUUUGAGCGGCCGAUGUCAGAUUAGCUAGUUGGUGAGGUAAAGGCUUACCAAGGCGACGAUCUGUAGCGGGUCUGAGAGGAUGAUCCGCCACACUGGAACUGAGACACGGUCCAGACUCCUACGGGAGGCAGCAGUGGGGAAUUUUGGACAAUGGGCGCAAGCCUGAUCCAGCCAUGCCGCGUGAGUGAAGAAGGCCUCGGUUGU
rnacentral:rRNA from 1 species